rnacentral:rRNA from 1 species
AGCGAACGCUGGCGGCAGGCUUAACACAUGCAAGUCGAGCGGGCAUCCUUGUGGUGUCAGCGGCAGACGGGUGAGUAACGCGUGGGAACGUGCCCUUCGGUUCGGAAUAACUCAGGGAAACUUGAGCUAAUACCGGAUACGUGCGAGAGCAGAAAGGUUUAUCUGCCGAAGGAUCGGCCCGCGUCUGAUUAGCUAGUUGGUGAGGUUAUGGCUCACCAAGGCGACGAUCAGUAGCUGGUCUGAGAGGAUGAUCAGCCGCACUGGGACUGAGACACGGCCCAGACUCCUACGGGAGGCAGCAGUGGGGAAUAUUGGACAAUGGGGGCAACCCUGAUCCAGCCAUGCCGCGUGAGUGAUGACGGCCUUAGGGUUGUAAAGCUCUUUUCUCCGGGACGAUAAUGACGGUACCGGAGGAAUAAGCCCCGGCUAACUUCGUG